rnacentral:snRNA from 1 species
UAUCCUCCAUAGGAGGUUCAUAUUGAGCAGAUUCUUUUUGGUAUUGGGUGGUGGAACCGGAGCGUGCUCCAUCCACUCCAUGCAUUGACCUGGUAUUGCAGUGCUUCCAGGACCAGUGC